rnacentral:ncRNA from 1 species
GUAUUGAUUAAUUAAAAGGGAAUCAGGUGAAAAUCCUGAACUAUCCCGUAGCUGUAUUAGAGGAAUUUAUGUGCAAUAUGCCACUUGGAAACAGGGAAGGCGCACAUGAGUGAUGAUUCUUAAGUCAGAAGACCUGCCUAUAUUUAA